AUUGAACGCUGGCGGCAUGCCUUACACAUGCAAGUCGAACGGCAGCACGGGAGCAAUCCUGGUGGCGAGUGGCGAACGGGUGAGUAAUAUAUCGGAACGUGCCCAGUAGUGGGGGAUAGCCCGGCGAAAGCCGGAUUAAUACCGCAUACGACCUGAGGGUGAAAGCGGGGGAUCGCAAGACCUCGCGCUAUUGGAGCGGCCGAUAUCAGAUUAGCUAGUUGGUGGGGUAAAGGCCUACCAAGGCUACGAUCUGUAGUUGGUCUGAGAGGACGACCAGCCACACUGGGACUGAGACACGGCCCAGACUCCUACGGGAGGCAGCAGUGGGGAAUUUUGGACAAUGGGCGCAAGCCUGAUCCAGCAAUGCCGCGUGCAGGAAGAAGGCCCUCGGGUUGUAAACUGCUUUGUCAGGGAAGAAAUCUUCUGGGCUAAUACCCGGGAGGAUGACGGUACCU
rnacentral:rRNA from 1 species